rnacentral:sRNA from 1 species
UGUUGGCACACAGGAAUACCCUGCCCUC